rnacentral:rRNA from 1 species
AGGCUUUGAUCCUGGCUCAGAUUGAACGCUGGCGGCAUGCUUUACACAUGCAAGUCGAACGGUAACAGGUCUUCGGAUGCUGACGAGUGGCGAACGGGUGAGUAAUGCAUCGGAACGUGCCCAGUCGUGGGGGAUAACGCAGCGAAAGCUGUGCUAAUACCGCAUACGAUCUGCGGAUGAAAGCGGGGGACCUUCGGGCCUCGCGCGAUUGGAGCGGCCGAUGUCAGAUUAGGUAGUUGGUGGGGUAAAGGCUCACCAAGCCAACGAUCUGUAGCUGGUCUGAGAGGACGACCGGCCACACUGGGACUGAGACACGGCCCAGACUCCUACGGGAGGCAGCAGUGGGGAAUUUUGGACAAUGGGCGCAAGCCUGAUCCAGCAAUGCCGCGUGCAGGAAGAAGGCCUUCGGGUUGUAAACUGCUUUUGUACGGAACGAAAAGCUCUGGGUUAAUACCCUGGGGUCAUGACGGUACCGUAAGAAUAAGCACCGGCGU